UACGUAGGUGGCAAGCGAUACUCGGAAUCACUAGGCGUAAAGCGCAGGUAGGCGGUUCGGUAAGUCUUUUGUGAAAGCUCCUGGCUUAACUGGGAGAGGCCAAAGGAAACUACCGGGCUAGAGUGUGGCAGAGGAUGGCGGAAUACCCAGUGUAGUGGUGAAAUACGUAGAGAUUGGGUAGAACACCGGUGGCGAAGGCGGCCAUCUGGGCAUUAACUGACGCUGAGACGCGAAAGCGUGGGGAGCAAACAGG
rnacentral:rRNA from 1 species